GACGAACCGUGCAAACGUUAUUCGGAAUCACUGGGCCUAAAGGGCGCGUAGGCGGCUUUCUAAGUCAGGGGUGAAAUCCGGCAGCUCAACUGUCGCAGUGCCUUUGAUACUGGAGAGCUCGAGGGAGGUAGGGGUCUGUGGAACUUCCGGUGGAGCGGUGAAAUGCGUUGAUAUCGGAAGGAACGCCGGUGGCGAAAGCGACGGACUGGAUCUCUUCUGACGCUGAGGCGCGAAGGCCAGGGGAGCAAACGGG
rnacentral:rRNA from 1 species